rnacentral:rRNA from 1 species
UACGUAGGGUGCGAGCGUUAAUCGGAAUGACUGGGCGUAAAGGGUUCGUAGGUGGUUUAUUAAGUUGUUGGUGAAAUCUCCGGGCUUAACCUGGGGUUGACGAAUGAAACUGAUAGACUCGAGUAUAGGAGAGGGUAGUGGAAUUUCCGGUGUAGCGGUGAAAUGCGUAGAGAUCGGAAGGAACACCAGUUGCGAAGGCGGCUACCUGGCCUGGUACUGACACUGAGGAACGAAAGCGUGGGGAGCAAACAGG